rnacentral:lncRNA from 1 species
AAAUAUGCAUGUAAAAAUCAAACAGCUGAAUCUAUUCAUCAAAUCACUACGUAUCAGACUAAACAUCAACACUCCAGUUGCAACCAUUCAGACCAUAGCAUAGUAGAUCAAUUCGGAGAGCAGCAACCAUUAGAAAAGCAACAGGAUAGUCCAGAUUAACAUGUGACUUGAUAGUUCAGAUACUAAGAGUAACAUGCGACUUAAUAGUUCUACCAAGAGUCGAAACGAACACCCAUAACGGUUCAGAAUUACAGUCCACGAUGAAUUUAACACGGCAUUCGAAGUUCAAUUAUGCCGACCCCAAAAUACAAACAGAAAGUUUAAUUCAGACUUCUUGUUCUUCAACUCUUCAGUCUUGCACCAAAAGUAUUGAAUCGAACAGAGACCUUCACUUUGGACUUCCUGUUCAUCCACCCGUUAGUCUUCAUCAAACCAAAAGCUCUUUUGCUCCCAUGCCGCUUAACCUUGCAAUUAAAGCAUUGUGAAUUAUAUAAACAUUACAAGUAGAUGGCAGAAACAACAACUCAAUGAUGGCAACCGCAAUUGGAACAACAUAUAAAAUCAUAUGGGCAGAAACAAUGUGAAUUAUAUAAAUAUUACAAGUAGAUGGCAGAAACAACUCAUAGAUGACAGCCCAAAUUAAAACAACAUAUAAAUUCAGAUGGACUAAAGCAUUGUGAAUUAUAUAAACAUUACAAGUAGAUGGCAGCAAUAACUCAUAGAUGGCAGCCCCAAUUGAAACACCAUAUAGAAUCAUAUGGACUAACACAUUGAGAAUUAUAUAAACAUCAAUUAGAUGGCAGAAACAACAGUUAAUAGAUGGCAACCCCAAUUGAAACAACAUAUAAAAUCAUAUGGACUAAAGCAAACACCACAUGUUUAUGACAGAAUAUAAGAAAGUGCAUAAAUGGGAAAUUAUUGAUGUCAUCACAAGGAACUUACUUGUCAAUUGUAAAGGCUGGUGACCUCCUUGACCUUCUUGGUUGCCUAACCCGUUCAGAUCUACGGUUCACCAAACUACCAUCACUUGUUACCUCAACG